GACUUCUUAUCAGCAAGAUGGAGUUAAAACCUGCUAUUGCUAAACAGGUCACGAUUGCAUUUCAAACGAACAUUGAAAAAGAAAAAGAUGAAGAAAAAAAGGUAGGAAAAGGAAGAAAAAAAAGAGAGGAGUAAGUACCAUUUCUCUGAAACGGAGCUGAAAUUAUAGAACAAUUCGCAGGCGUUCUUAGAGAAGAAGGGCGAACUCGUGAAAAGUGGCUCGAUGUGAACAACGGCGACAAAAAAGGUGGAGUGAAACGACGCAAAGUAGUCCAGAAGACGUAUCGGUUAUCGAUAAAAAUUCUAUCAAAUGAAUUACGAGAAACCUGAGCAAUGGAAGCGUCGACGGAGCGAAAGGUGGAACAGAGAGAUAUCGAACAUGAAACGUGCUACGCUGUCACAGACCAAUUCGGUUAUCUCCUUCAUAGCGACACGAUAAAUAUCGACGCUAAUUAAUUUACUGGCUCACGCUGACUCGAAUUCGUGGGAAAAUGUGCGAACCAUCGCUGACAGUAGCGAAAGGACUAAACCUUGUAAAUGUGCGACGUCCCUGGCGCUCUAUACGAUAAAAGGAAAGAAAAAAAGAAAAUCCAAAUUUCAUGGAAUUACAUAAUCCCACGGUUUAUUACCGGGGCUUACAUAAGUAAAAUCUUUUUAUUUCGAUUCCAUAUAAAGGCAAGAAUCUAAUCGAAUUUGUGGCAAACAUUACGCAACUGUACUACUCGUACCUGUUUACAUUCGAAACGGGAAGCUUUGGUUCGAGGAAAUCUGUGAAAAUUGCGACACGAUGCACCGCGAAAAUAGGAACGGGUCAUGAUCGUUGGCGACGUCAAUUAUUUUAGCCCGUCUGCCCGUGAAUCGAGCGACAUUUAUCCAUUCACGAGUACUCUUGCCAACGAACGUCGCGUCGCGUCGAGCGACAUUACCGUGAAAAAUGAACGAAAAGAUAACGAGAAGUUGGCGAUGAAUGUCAAGUAAAUACAACAUUGCCGACUAGGGACGAUUAUGUGCUCUAACGCGUCCUACGGGAACACUGUUCUCCGUUUCAGGAUUAAGAUGGACCGUGAUACUCGGUUAACCUCUACCUUAUCCUCUCGAUCUAUUAGAAAUCCAGCUCUUGAAUUUUGGCUUACAAAACUUAUUACAUUUGAUCGUAUCAUGGGACAAUACGUUACAGGAUACAUUUUCAAACGUUAGGAAGGAAAGUUACUUUGUUAGAAGUAUGGCGUAUAAGACGAUAUUACGCGAUAAGUUUUUGUUUGCGGAAAGGCGACAACGCACACGGUACCAGCAUAUGACAGGUACAUGGAGCAAUGCCAAGUUAAGGAGGUAGAAACCUUGCUAUCUAAGGAACUAAAAAUCCUGCCAUUGAAAAUCAUAAGCA